rnacentral:lncRNA from 1 species
AUCAUAACACCGUCAUCCAGAAAUGAUUUCAGAAAUUUAUAUUUUUUAGUUUAGGUUCGGAAACAGGCUCCCCUUUUUAACGAAUCAAGUCUUAUAACUCCAAAAGGUAAAAUAAGAUAUUAAUGAAAUUGACAUUAAUUAAUAUAAAUAAUUUACCAUCGAAGCCUUUUUUAGUAUCAUCCAAACUGUGGACAACGAAUGGACAACAAACAGUAUAGUAUUUACCAUAAAAUUUCGUCUUCACAAAAACAAUGAUAUCUCAUCAAUUACUAUAAAACAAGCAAUUGUUUGUUGGUCAUUUUACAUAUUCUACCAAAACAAUUAUGUUUCAGCAUUAGAAAGAACAAAAAAUUAGUCACAAUAGCUGAAAUCCCAAAUAGUAUAUACAUAUAUACUCAAAAAUGUGUUAGCUCAUGAACAUAAUAUCUGAUAGGUUGCCUGCACAUAAAGUUGUCUGAAAAUAAUAUGCUGUCAUUGCUGUAUCCAUCUAUAUUGCCCGCGACCCAUUACAUAUGUUCAUUUGCCAUCACAUUUUAGUGCGAUUUCUUCAAUUUAAACCAAUUUCUCACUAUUGUAUAUGUUGUUUUACCUAUUAUAUGUCAUUUAACCUUCUGAUUUCAGGUUUUAUGCACAAUGUGAUAAAAAAGGUAAAGAUAAAUUACUAUUGCAAUAUUCUAUAAAAAGUCAAAGAUACU